GCCUCCUUAGCUCAGCGGCCAGAGCGCUCGCCUUGUAAGCGAGUGGUCGAGGGUUCGACUCCCUCAGGGGGCUCCA
rnacentral:tRNA from 1 species